AGAUAUUUAGCUUAUAUUAAAGCAUUUACUUUGAAAGUAAAAUAAAGAUUGAUAUUUAAUAUCUU
rnacentral:tRNA from 1 species